rnacentral:tRNA from 1 species
GCCCGGAUGGCGGAAUGGUAGACGCAGGGGGCUUAAACCCCCCGGACCUUUGGGUCAUGCGGGUUCGACUCCCGCUCCGGGUA